GACGAACGCUGGCGGCGUGCUUAACACAUGCAAGUCGAACGGAAAGGCCCUGCUUUUGUGGGGUGCUCGAGUGGCGAACGGGUGAGUAACACGUGAGUAACCUGCCCUUGACUUUGGGAUAACUUCAGGAAACUGGGGCUAAUACCGGAUAGGAGCUCCUGCUGCAUGGUGGGGGUUGGAAAGUUUCGGCGGUUGGGGAUGGACUCGCGGCUUAUCAGCUUGUUGGUGGGGUAGUGGCUUACCAAGGCUUUGACGGGUAGCCGGCCUGAGAGGGUGACCGGCCACAGUGGGACUGAGAUACGGCCCAGGCGCCUACGGGAGGCAGCAGUGGGGAAUAUUGCACGAUGGGCGGAAGCCUGAUGCAGCAACGCCGCGUGCGGGAUGACGGCCUUCGGGUUGUAAACAGCUUUCGCCUGUGACGAAGCGUGAGUGAAGGUAAUGGGUAAAGAAGCACCGGCUAAGUACGUG
rnacentral:rRNA from 1 species